rnacentral:misc_RNA from 1 species
UACGGAGGGUGCAAGCGUUGUUCGGAAUUAUUGGGCGUAAAGCGCGCGUAGGCGGCUCUUUAAGUCUCGCUGUGAAAUCUGGGGGCUCAACCCUCACGACUGCAGGGGAUACUGGGGAGCUAGAGAUAGGUAGAGGCGAGCGGAAUUCCGGGUGUAGCGGUGGAAUGCGUAGAGAUCCGGAAGAACACCAGAGGCGAAGGCGGCUCGCUGGACCUCAUCUGACGCUGAGGUGCGAAAGCGUGGGGAGCGAACAGG